UUUCCGGUUGAUCCUGCCGGAAGUCACUGCUAUUGGAGUUCGAUUAAGCCAUGCGAGUCAAUAGUUCUUCGUGAACUAGGCGGACUGCUCAGUAACACGUGGGUAAUCUACCCUCAGGCCAGGGAUAAUCCCGGGAAACUGGGAAUAAUACCUGAUAGGUGAAGAUGUCUGGAAUGAUACUUCGCCCAAAGCUCCGGCGCCCGAGGAUGAGCCUGCGGCCGAUUAGGUUGUUGGCGGUGUAACGGACCACCAAGCCUGUGAUCGGUACGGGUGGUGAGAGCCAUAGCCCGGAGAUGGGGGCUGAGACACGGCCCCAGGCCCUACGGGGCGCAGCAGGCGCGAAAACUACGCAAUGCGCGAAAGCGUGACGUGGGAACUCCAAGUGCCUUGCCUUAGGGUAAGGCUUUUGCUUAGUGUAAGUAGCUAAACGAAUAAGUGCGGGGUAAGACCGGUGCCAGCCGCCGCGGUAACACCGGCCGCGCAAGUGGUGACCACUUUUAUUGGGCCUAAAGCGUUCGUAGCCGGUUUGGUAAGUCUUUGGGUAAAUCUUUCGGCUUAACCGAAGGAAUUCCGAAGAUACUGCCAGACUUGGAGUUGAGGGAGGUCAGAGGUACCUCUGGGGUAGGGGUGAAAUCCUAUAAUCCUGGGGGGACCACCAGUGGCGAAGGCGUCUGACUAGAGCAAGCUCGACGGUGAGGGACGAAAGCCAGGGGCGCGAACGGGAUUAGAUACCCCGGUAGUCCUGGCUGUAAACGCUGCGCGCUAGGUGUUGCAUGCUCUACGAGGGCGUGCAGUGCCGAAGAGAAGUUGAUAAGCGUGCCGCCUGGGAAGUAUUACCGCAAGGUAGAAACUUAAAGGAAUUGGCGGGGGAGCACCACAAGGGGUGGAGUCUGCGGUUCAAUUGGAUUCAACGCCGGG
rnacentral:rRNA from 1 species